rnacentral:lncRNA from 1 species
GGUGGAACUUUAGCAGCGGCAGCAACACCAGAUCCUUUUAACCCACCGCACGGGGGCGUGGAUGGAACCCGCCCCUUUGCCUCCAAGGCAGCCUGAGCCACUGCAGUCAGGUUCUUAACCCGCUGAGCCGCAGCGGGAACUCCAAAAGUAAACCGGUUUUAAGAAAAGUAUUAACAGCACAGAUCCAACGUGGCCAGAAAAGUCCGCACAGAGGUGCUGAAAAUCCACACGGAGGAGGCGUGAGAAUGAUUAAAUCGGGGACGCUGCUGGCCCCAGACUGAAUGUCCGUCCCCCCCCCUCCGCCCCCCGCAGUGGGAGGUGAUAAGGUCGUGAGGGUGAAUGGAGCGAGUGGCCUAACUCAGACGAGACCUGAGAGAGGGCUCUCUGGCCUCGGCGUGCACACAGCCCAGACGCGACGAGCCAGCGCGCUGAACGCGCCUGCAGAGCUGCUGAGUCUAGCAGUCCCUGGCACUCCGGAUGGCAGCCCAGAGGCCGCGACUCUUCUGCCCAAGUCUUUUUGGAAAGCUGAAGAGCUCCUAAGAAAACCUGUCAUUAGCCGUCAUUCGACACGUUGGGCAAAACCCGCAACCAAGCACUUGGAAGAGUGGCUUUAGGAACACUCACCAGACCUCCUUUCUCAUUCUCAUACCCGGCAACCGCGUGGCCCGUCUCAGGGAGCCACCAUCACGUUGGUCUAUCUCUGCACAGCUGCUCAAGUACGGGUUCCAUCCCAGGAAGCCUGAGGAAGCAGGAAGUCAUCUUAGCUGAGGAAACAGACACUCUGAGCAUCCAUUCCCUGUAACCUGCUUCGUUUCCUAGGCCUUCGUACAAAAUCAAUGCCAAGGUUAAAAAAAUCUAACCAUGGGUUGGGAACAAGGCCUGGAUAUUAUUCCAAGCUCUGGCACAGGCAUGCAGUUUGUCCCUGGGCAAAUUCCUUAGCCUGUCUCUGCCUCAGUCUCAUCAUUCACAGAAUGCUGGGUAAGGAAGGGUACUUCCUUCUCGUUAUUAUGAAAGACAAGCUGUGCUUAUGUCCUUCUGCAAAAUGGGACGCCGCUUUCCUAGGAAGGGUACCAGUCAAUACCAGCGUAUGUAUCUUAAAGAGAUAAUCAGAUUAAAAGCAGCAUGGAAUAUACAAAGAAAAAUGAUUGAAUUUCCUAGUGGACCAGGCAUAUUGCUGCCCUUUGGGUCCAAACGAAAAAGUAUAUCUUGAAUUACUGAAAUUUUCUCUUUUUUAAAUUUUUUUUACUUUAUUUUUUGUCUUUUUGCCAUUUCUUGGGCCGCUCCCGUGGCAUAUUGAGGUUCCCAGGCGAGGGGUCAAAUCGGAGCUGUAGCCGACAGCCUACACCAGAGCCAGAGCAAUGCCAGAUCCGAGCCGCGUCUGCGACCUACACCACAGCUCACGGCGACGCCAGAUCCUUAACCUUCUGAGCAAGGGCAGGGAUCGAACCAGCAACCUCAUGGUUCCUGGUCGGAUUCGUUAACCAUUGCUCCACGACGGAAACUCCCUGAAAUUUUCUUUCUUGCCUCAUCUAAUACAUGACAGAUUCUAAGUGUCAUUCUUACACCUCAUCCAUUAGUAAUUGCUCACUAAAUCGAAAUACUUGCUGCUUUUUCUGGUUGACUGUAUCUAGAACAUUUCCCAGUGUGUUUCAUUCAUUAUUGUACUCAACACGUUUGCUGCAUGAAUAGAUGACUGUGUUGCAUGCUUAUACCGCAAAUUAACAUUUUUUCUUCAUUAGGCACUAUGUUUCUAAUUUCUUGUUUUAUUAAGUAAUGCUGCAGUGUACUAUCUUAUGCAUCAAUAUCUUCCCAGAAAUCUGGUUACCUACUUAAAGCUCAAUCACUGUGAUUUAGAAUUUUGUAGAACAAAAAAGGAAAGCAGUAUACACAAAGAAAAAGAAUAUAUACAAGUGAAACAAACCACAUGGUUAGAAAAUCACAAUAAAAAAUCUGUAAAUGUUAA